UUAAGUGGAAAAGGAUGUGGAAUUGCACAGACAACCAGGAUGUUGGCUUAGAAGCAGCCACUCAUUAAAAGAGUGCGUAAUAGCUCACUGGUCGAGUGACUCUGCGCCGAAAAUUUAACGGGGCUAAACUAUACACCGAAGCUUGGGAUACAUCUAAUGUAUGGUAGGAGAGCGUUCUGUAUGGGGAGAAGUCGUAGCGAAAGCGGCGGUGGACUAUACAGAAGUGAGAAUGCCGGAAUAAGUAGCGAGAAUUAAGUGAGAAUCUUAAUGGCCGAAAGUCUAAGGUUUUUGGAGGAAGGUUCGUCCGCUCCAAGUAAGUCGGGAGCUAAGGUCAGGCCGAAAGGCGUAGCCGAUGCACAUACGGUUGAUAUUCCGUAACCAUCUGUAAUUUAAGCAAAGGGACACUUCAAAAGGGUGUGACCCGGGCGUUGGUUGACCCGGGCGUAAGGGACCGAAAUUAGAGUAGGGAAGCACACUUAGCUGAAGGCGAGAAAAGCUUUGCGUAUAGAAACAGAUGCCCGUACCGCAAACCGACACAGGUGGACAGGAAGAGAAUUCUAAGGCCAGCGGGAGAAGGGUAGUUAAGGAACUCGGCAAAUUGACUCCGUAACUUCGGAAUAAGGAGUGCUCGAAAGAGCCGCAGAGAAUAGGCCCAGGCGACUGUUUAGCAAAAACACAGGUCUCUGCCAAAUCGAAAGAUGAAGUAUAGGGGCUGACACCUGCCCGGUGCCGGAAGGUUAAGAGGAGGAGUGAGAGCUCCGAAUUGAAGCCCCGGUAAACGGCGGCCGUAACUAUAACGGUCCUAAGGUAGCGAAAUUCCUUGUCGGGUAAGUUCCGACCCGCACGAAUGGUGUAACGAUCUGGGCACUGUCUCAACUACCCACCCGGCGAAAUUGUAGUACCGGUGAAGAUGCCGGUUACCUGCGGCAAGACGGAAAGACCCCAUGGAGCUUUACUGUAGCCUGAUAUUGGGUUUCGGAAAUCUAUGUACAGGAUAGGCGGGAGACUAGGAAACAUGAGCGUCAGCUUGUGUGGAGUCGAUGUUGGGAUACCGCCCUUAGGUUUCUGGAAUUCUAACCUGCGGCCGUGAAUCCGGUCGGGGGACAUUGUCAGGUGGGCAGUUUGACUGGGGCGGUCGCCUCCGAAAAGGUAACGGAGGCGCUCAAAGGUUAGCUCAGCACGGACGGAAACCGUGCCUCUGAGUGUAAACGCAAAAGCUAGCCUAACUGCGAGGGUGACGGCCCGAGCAGUAACGAAAGUUGGAGUUAGUGAUCCGGCGGUAUGUGAAUGGAAAUGCCGUCGCUCAACGGAUAAAAGCUACCCUGGGGAUAACAGGCUGAUCUCCCCCAAGAGUCCACAUCGACGGGGAGGUUUGGCACCUCGAUGUCGGCUCAUCACAUCCUGGGGCUGUAUUCGGUCCCAAGGGUUCGGCUGUUCGCCGAUUAAAGUGGUACGCGAGCUGGGUUCAGAACGUCGCGAGACAGUUCGGUCCCUAUCUGUCGUGGGCGCAGGAUAUUUGAGGAGCUCUGUCCUUAGUACGAGAGGACCGGGAUGGACGUACCUCUGGUGCACCAGUUGUCAUGCCAAUGGCACGGCUGGGCAGCUAUGUACGGAACGGAUAAACGCUGAAAGCAUCUAAGCGUGAAGCCGACUCCAAGAUUAGAUAUCCCAUCGUAUAACGAGUAAGACCCCUUGAAGACUACGAGGUUGAUAGGCUGCGUGUGUAAGUGCCGUGAGGCAUUCAGCUUGGCAGUACUAAUAGGUCGAGGGCUUGACCAC
rnacentral:rRNA from 1 species